CAGGGAGACAACAAAAUGUUUAAUAUUAUUAUUUUGUCACCUUAGGUCGAUCGGUAUCUCACGUUUUUAAUUUAUUAAAAAUUUCAUUUCCUAAGUUUUUCUAGGUCACACCCAUUAUUUUUCCUGGGCCAUUAGCUCAGGUGGUUAGAGCGCACCCCUGAUAAGGGUGAGGUCCCUGGUUCAAGUCCAGGAUGGCCCAUAUCUCUAUGUUGGGGGUAUAGCUCAGUUGGUAGAGCGCCUGCUUUGCAAGCAGGAUGUCAGCGGUUCGAGUCCGCUUACCUCCACUGAUUACCACCUCUUCCAUAACCGGUAAAAAGGAAAUUUUUUGAGUUGUGAUCAAAUUCUGAAAGAAUCUAGCUUCCUAAUGAAAUCAUUAAGAUGCUGGACUCAUUGAAUUAAUUUCAUUGUUUUCAGAGAACCUUGACAACUGCAUAGAUUAUUUUUAAAGACAAUAAGCAUCUUUAAUGAUGCAGAUUUAUUAUUUGUGCAAAUGCAUUAAUAACAAUUCUAUUAAGCUGAUGCUUCAAUUUUUGAAGUUAUU
rnacentral:tRNA from 1 species